GAAAGCAUUUGCCAAGGACGUUUUCAUUAAUCAAGAACGAAAGUUAGGGGAUCGAAGAUGAUCAGAUACCGUCGUAGUCUUAACCAUAAACUAUGCCGACUAGGGAUCGGGUGUUGUCCUUUUUUUGGCGCACUCGGCACCUUACGAGAAAUCAAAGUUUUUGGGUUCUGGGGGGAGUAUGGUCGCAAGGCUGAAACUUAAAGGAAUUGACGGAAGGGCACCACCAGGAGUGGAGCCUGCGGCUUAAUUUGACUCAACACGGGGAAACUCACCAGGUCCAGACACAAUAAGGAUUGACAGAUUGAGAGCUCUUUCUUGAUUUUGUGGGUGGUGGUGCAUGGCCGUUCUUAGUUGGUGGAGUGAUUUGUCUGCUUAAUUGCGAUAACGAACGAGACCUUAACCUACUAAAUAGUGCUGCUAGCUUUUGCUGGUAUAGUCACUUCUUAGAGGGACUACCGAUUUCAAGUCGGUGGAAGUUUGAGGCAAUAACAGGUCUGUGAUGCCCUUAGACGUUCUGGGCCGCACGCGCGCUACACUGACGGAGCCAGCGAGUAUUAACCUUGGCCGAGAGGUCUGGNAAAUCUUGUGAACUCCGUCGUGCUGGGGGAUAGAGCAUUGUAAUUAUUGCCCC
rnacentral:rRNA from 1 species